rnacentral:rRNA from 1 species
CCUACGGGUGGCAGCAGUGAGGAAUAUUGGUCAAUGGACGUAAGUCUGAACCAGCCAAGUAGCGUGAAGGAUGACUGCCCUAUGGGUUGUAAACUUCUUUUAUAUGGGAAUAAAAUGUUGCACGUGUGGUAUUUUGUAUGUACCAUAUGAAUAAGGAUCGGCUAACUCCGUGCCAGCAGCCGCGGUAAUACGGAGGAUCCGAGCGUUAUCCGGAUUUAUUGGGUUUAAAGGGUGCGUAGGUGGAUUUUUAAGUCAGUUGUGAAAGUUUGCGGCUCAACCGUAAAAUUGCAGUUGAAACUGGAAGUCUUGAGUACAGUAGAGGCGGGCGGAAGUCGUGGUGUAGCGGUGAAAUGCUGAGAUAUCACGAAGAACCCCGAUUGCGAAGGCAGCCCAC